GUUCCAGUGGCCUAGUGGUUAGAGCAACUGCCUUAGAUGUGGGAGGUUGUGGAUUCAAUACCCUGCUGAAUCA